CACAAUUGGGUGUUUCUGUAUGCUCACGUGUGCAUCUGUGCAUUUAUAUGUAUGUCAGUGUGCCUGUGCAUGUGUGUGUGCAUGCACAGAGCACAGAGGGCAGCUGGAGAGGAGAGAAGAACCAGCAACCCCUAGACCUCUGGACUCCCAGCCACUCCAAGCUCCAACUGGAAGGUUCUUCUCCACUCGCCCUGCCCCUCUCCAAACAGCCCUUCCGGCCUCAGCUUGAUGUCCACCUUCUGGAGGCUUCCCUGACCACUCCAAGGGCAAGUUCUGCCCGCCAGGCGGCGCCCCUCCACAGCCAGUGGGCAGAAAAACUGGACAGAGGCAAGAGCAGAGCUGGCUGCACAGCAUGCCCCACCUGGGACCCCAGGCCACUGGGUGUGCACAGGAGCAGGGCCAGCCCCGAGCUUCACUGCCCCCACCCCCGAGCUGCCCUGGAGUCAAGGGAUCUACAGGGGACCGUCCCAGUGAGGCUGGGUGGGCCAUUUGUCUUCUGGCGGCACCCACAUUUACUCCCACCCUCCAGCGCCCCUGGCCUCUGUGCAGCCAGGAUCCUGAGCCCCAGGAAGUUCCCCAGAAGGCUGGGGCCCUGCCCCUGGCUCUCGAAGGCAGGCACAGAUGCGGAGCCUGCUUGGGGUAGGGCCAUGGCUAAAGGAAGGAGCAGCUCUCAGCGGGCAGCUCAGGCACAGCCCCCCAGCCUCUGGCCUCCUCGCCCACUGCCCUGACCAUAUCCCUCUCAGACCACGCUCCCGUGCCCUCACCCACUCCCAACCUCCAGAUGCAGAUGCCCGGCUGCCUACUGCUCUCCUGUUGCUUGCAGCCCAGUGCCCUGUCCCCCCGACCUUCCCUUCCCGCCCAGGUAUGGGCUCACCCUCCCGGCCCACUGUCCCAGUGCCUAAGCUGCUCCCCCAACCCCCACUCCCGGCUGCCCCUGCCCCGACUCUGGCCCUGCCUCAGGCUCUCAGCAGCCCUGCAGCCUGGCUCCUCCCACAUCCUCCCCUUCUCGGGGAGGCCUACCCCGAGCACUGUCCACACCAGCCUUGUCCUUCCUCUCCAGAGAUCCUGCAGCAGCAGGCUGCUGUCUGCUCACCCUCAGAAUGAGCCCUGUGACCCGUGGGGGUCCUCACCCCCCAGCUGGCCCUGUGGCCCUCAGUGGCAAGGACUGUGUCACCAAGCCCUGUGCCCUUGAAAGCAGACAGUGAGCCGAACCUCAGAGGCUGACUGAUUUCCAGGUUCUAGUGACUUUAGGGCUUGGGGGGCUGUGAGAGGCCCUUUGGGUCCCGCUUGAAGGAACAAAUCUGCACCGAGUGGUGACAGGACUCACACGGCUGCACCAGGAGCAAACCUGGGCAGGUAGGAACCCAGACAUCAGUGCUGUGGAGGGGAGAAGGGCAAAAGAUGACAUCCAGCCAAGCAAGAAGAGGCAGGCCACAGGAACUGGCCACUCACUGGCCAGCCCGUGAGUUGUGGCUGGAAAUCGGCCUCUGACGGGAUCGUCCUACGGUGCAGGCAUGAGGCACAGAGACCCCGUCCUACCAGGGCCACAUCAGAACCUCCACCAGCAGCUGUUCUAACACCUGGGUGCAGUGGUGCUAGCCCCCAUGGUGGGGUGCAGAUGGCAGCUGGCACUCGGGACACCACUCAGAGGACCGGCCUCCCCAGAGCUGGCAGUCAGUCUCACAGCAAGCAAGGAGACCACCUUGGUUGACCCCCGCAGUGGGAGUGGCCUUGUGGUGCCCGGGCCGCCCAAAGAAGCAGUGACCUGCUGAGCGUCCAGGACGGACGAAAGGGGUGUGUUUCUGGUGUCACCACCUCUGCCUCCAGGCCCGGCCCCAGGACCCCUGACCCUCCUCUGCCGGUGGGCACACCCUCCCUCUUUGUAUGGCCCAGGGAUUAAACCCGCAUCCAUGGGCCACUGCCCAGGGUUUCUCCGGCCACAAAGACAUGCUCAUGGUGCACUGCCCUGGGACAGCAAUCACCAGCUAUCCUCGAUAUCCUCCACCUCCAGCAGAGGCCAUCAAGAAGCCAGCCACCCAGUGGACCCCGCAGGAAGGGGCAGGAGGGGGUGGCAUCAACCCUGGGGCCUCCCCACCAGGCCUGUGAGGAGGUGGGGGAGGGGAGGUCAGUGGAGCAUGGACCUUGAGGUUUCCUCAAGACACAGGGUGAGCGGCUGGGCUGAGAAGCCUCCCUCUGCCCCUAAAUGCAUAAAGGACAUUGUCAUGUUAAUGACCAAACUGGAAUCAGAUGGCUCGUUGGUAAGUGUCACCAUCGUGUCACAUUCACUGAAGAGCCUGAUGCGCUGUGAUCAAAUACACGCCAGGGUGUCUGCGUGAGAGAUCCACGGCAGACCUCAAAUGGUGCAGAAAACACACACACACAUGCACACACAUAUGUAACAUGCACACACGCACAUGCACACGUGCACACACAGUAAGCAAAUGGGGCAAAAUUUUAACAAAAGCAAAUCUAGAAAAAGGUAUUCUCCGUACUAUUCUUAUUCUUCCAGCUUUUCUGUAAAUUUGACACUAUUUCCAAAUUAAAAGUUUGAGAACAAGGACUGUGCCCUCCUCACCAGCCCCCCUCCUAACCCCCCCCACAACGUGCCUCUGUAGAGCUUCUCCUGACCUCAGGCCAAGCACGCCUCUCCAGGGAACCCAGGACCUCUCCAGAGCGGGGAUGUCCACACCGAGUGCAGAGGCUUUGGCUCCCCACCUCCCGGUGCCUCAGCCCCGUCCCCAGGGUGUGCCAGGGCGCCCAAGACAGUCAGGCGGGAGUGAGGCCUCCCCACCGUGGAGCAGCACCCCCCAGGGACCUGGAUGUUCUUGGAGCUCAUGAAGCCCACCCUCCUGACCUCUCUACCUAGACUGAGAAAAGGUGCCUGCUCCCUUCUCAGGCUCCCACCAAGACACAGUGCCAAGCUGGCCAUGCCUGCCAACCCCUCCCGCCAGCCCCUACAGAUGCCCAUGCCCAUCACUAACCCAAUCCAAGCAGACUGACAGUUUGGACAGAAGAGACGGCGUCGGGUCUCCUCCUGCCCGACACCUGGGAGGUGGGAGGGCCACUGUCUGGGCUGGAUGCCGGACCCAGGACAGAUCUCGCCCAGAAGCACUGCGCCCUGGACCUCCAUGGUGGCUAAGUCAAGGCCUGGGGAGAGCAGCUCUCCCCUCAACCUACAGAAAGCCCCACAUUUCCGAGGCAGUGAAGCAGGGCUGAGGUGACGUGGUGCCCCUGUCCUCAUAACAGGGGCCACCCACUGUCCCCUCAUCUCCCUCCCCCUCACAGACUCCCAGGGUGCAGAGGGCAGAAAUCGCCUCCCAGGUCGUCAGGCGGCAACAGCCCAGAACUGUCCAUGGUGAGUGGUUGUGCCAUUCCCUACCUGGAGGAGGUUCUCCUGCAGCCUCCCGGCUCCUGCACCCACACCGAGCCAGCACGGCCCUCAGGGCUCCUGCGUUCUACGUCUGUCAGGACGGGUGGCCUGCACCUGGCAGGAAUGUCCUCUACCCAGGAGCAUGGCACUUGGGUGCUUGGGUCCACCCUUGCAUAGGACAACAGCCUCUGGCACCUCUUCGGAGCCUUUCUGCUUACAGCUGCCAUGCUGAGCUCCUGAGGCCUCAGAGCCGAGGAGCUGGGGUCAGUCUCACACUGGUAGCACUUGGCAUCUGUGUCUGAGUGCCCCGGAUGUUGCCCGUGUGCCUGGAGCUCUGGCUAGCUGUUGACAGAGGUUGGUCAUCCUUUGAUUCCGGGUUGACUGGACAUUAGGGGGCGUGACCACAGACACCCCUGUAGGUGAUCCAGAGUGCGGUCGUGGGAGGCCUCGUGACCCUGCCAGAGCCAGAGGACUUCAGAUUUGUUCUGAGACCUGGACACCUGGUGCCACCACAGGUGCCAACAGGUUAGGGCACCUCUCUGGUCACUCCUGGAGCCGCCCUUCAGGAAGGCCACCUCUCAGAGGUGAAGCCUGGUCCAGCGCUGGCUCUCCCCACUUGAGCAGGAGGCCCUCUGUGCCUGCCGCAGGAAGGAGGCGUCUCAACAGUCACCUCCCAGCGUGCGGCCACUCUCCCUGUCGCGUCUGGACCUGGACCCUCUCCCCAGGGUCCUUUCCAAUACAGAUGAACUCUGAGAGAAGACACUCCACUGGGUGUUCCUUUAGCUCAAAAAAUUUCACCACGUGACUCUCAGUAGAAUUACUAUAGAAAAAUACGAUGCAGGAUGAUUCAAAUACCUUUUCUAACACACUGGUUUCAGGAAAAAAAACUGAACACGCAAAUCUCAAAAGCAACUCCAGGCUGCAGAAGGAGCAGUUGCACGGGGCAGGUGCACGGAGAGCGGGAAGGGAAGCAGUGAGUUAUCCACACACGGCUGGAAAGGCCCAGGCAGACUCCACUGGCAGCCCGCAUAGCUCACCAGAACAGGCACGUGGAGCACGCCGCUCUCUGCUGAGGGCCAGGGAACCAGGCUAGUGGCCUGGUCACGGGCCCGGGUCACAGCUGCCCUCGUCCUAUCAGAGGAAAGAGGAGUUCCUCAAUCCUAGACAGUGGGGAGCCUGUGGGAGCAGAUCCCAGCCGAGGGAGAAGCCCCAGGAGCCUCAGCCAGCAUUCUCCACACGCUUCUCUCACCGGAUAGCUCAACGCCUGGCGCAGAACAGCUGCCUGCAAACCCAGCCAGGGAUGCAAGGGCAGCCCACAAGGAGGCUGUUUGCACAACUACAAUCAGACCCUCCAAGGAAACUUCUAGAGCCAGAGGGACCUCAAAAAGCACGUCAGACUAACAGAACUCAUUAUGGAACUAAGAAUCCUAACACGGCGUGCUUCGGGUGGGACAGAGGGAAGAGGGAAGAAGGCUGACGCUUUUGGAUUUCUGGGGGAAAUAAUAACAAGCAGCCCUUUAGAAGCAAAGCCUGACACCUGUUAACAUUCUGUGAAGUCCCUCUGGUUCUUCCACACCACAACCUAGUCCUCCCUUCCUCACAUGCGCUUGGUUCCUUGAGACCAGGCACAGGAGUGCCAGGAUGCAAGUAAGGCAGCCCGACUCUGCUCUGAGUUGGCAGGACUGGGAGGACGCAUUCAGAGUAGGUGACAUUUAACGACUGGGUACAGAGGCCAGUCAGUAACUGAUCCCAUUGGACAAAAUGAGCCGCUGUCCCAGCCUCUGCUCCUUGGUAACGGGCACAUGGCCCUUCCCCUCCGCCCCCCAUGAAAGCCCUCACCCUGUUGUUCUGACUCACUGAGAGGUGGGACAUCCUCUGUAUCGUGCACUGCCUCUCAGUGUAUGGCUCAGCCGAUCAUUACAAGCCAGGAAUCAAUUAGCUCCCAAGGGAGCCCAGAGACCACACACGUGUCAGAAAACUGGCAAACAGGAGGGAAUGAACACUCGGGGGCUAAAACGCACUUCCCAAAACAAAAUCACAGCAGCCAUUUUGAGUAAAUGUGGAGCUACAUUUUCACCAGCAGAAUACCCACCAGAGGGAGGACAAACAUCCCUUUGACCUGUUGGAGUAUAGGGCAUUUUCCUGUUUGUUUUGGCAUUUCCUCAUACCAAGGCCAUGUUCUGGAAGGUGCCUGGGACAGUGCAUGAGGGCAUCUCCUGGGAUGAUGCUCAUGUUCUAUAUCUUUAUCUGCACCUCAGACUUGUCAAAACUCCGCAGGUGUACACUCAAGGUUUGUGCAUGUUUGUAAAUUCUACCUCCAAGGGAAAACAAGCCAUGAACAAACAUUAAACUCUUACUGAAUGCACAUGGAACUGCUUGGAGGGAGUGUACUGGUCUCUGCAGUGUGAGAUAAAAUGGACUGAAGAAUGGAUGGAGGAAGGAGACGGGGGAGAGAGCAAGUCAGGAGCCGGCAGUGCUGGAAUCUGGGUGGUAGAUGUAAGCCGCUCACAGAAUUCUUGCAACUUCGCUGUCUGAAAAGGCCUAAAAUGUUGGGGACUAUAAAUUCUGAGUUAUCUAACAGGAUUCCUCUAGAUAAAAGUUCCUCUAUCUUUUCCAGACUAUAGCAAGGGGUGAGUGAAGUCACACUAUAAUAUACAGUCUGAGGGCAUUGUUGGCUCCCCUGCA
rnacentral:lncRNA from 1 species